rnacentral:rRNA from 1 species
UGGGGAAUAUUGCACAAUGGGCGCAAGCCUGAUGCAGCCAUGCCGCGUGUAUGAAGAAGGCCUUCGGGUUGUAAAGUACUUUCAGUCGGGAGGAAGGUGUCAAGGUUAAUAACCUUGGCAAUUGACGUUACCGACAGAAGAAGCACCGGCUAACUCCGUGCCAGCAGCCGCGGUAAUACGGAGGGUGCAAGCGUUAAUCGGAAUUACUGGGCGUAAAGCGCACGCAGGCGGUUGAUUGAGUCAGAUGUGAAAUCCCCGGGCUUAACCCGGGAAUUGCAUCUGAUACUGGUCAGCUAGAGGAUUGUAGAGGGGGGUAGAAUUCCAUGUGUAGCGGUGAAAUGCGGAGAGAUGUGGAGGAAUACCGGUGGCGAAGGCGGCCCCCUGGACAAAGACUGACGCUCAGGUGCGAAAGCGUGGGGAGCAAACAGG